AAUCAUUUUAGGUGCGUGACUGUUCCCCUGGCCUUCCCAUCCACUGAUGAAUUAUUAGCAACGUGCCUUAGACAAAGGACGCAUGGGAGCCCCACCACACCUAGAGCCACGCUUUGAAGGAUCUGCCAAGCUCACUUUUAAUCAUGAGAAAGAAAUUACCCACAUGGAGUCAGCAGAAAAUGAGAAAGUAGAGCUCGUGCUGCGAAUAAUUCCAGCAAGUGCCAAGGGGCUAGUUGAGGAAUGGCUUCAUGAAGUGAAUAUCUUUAGCUUGUACUUAGGGUUUGGUUAGCGUAUAAUCAU
rnacentral:lncRNA from 1 species